rnacentral:rRNA from 1 species
UACAGAGGGUGCAAGCGUUAAUCGGAAUUACUGGGCGUAAAGCGUGCGUAGACGGUUAUUUAAGUCAGGUGUGAAAGCCCCGGGCUCAACCUGGGAAUUGCAUUUGAGACUGAAUAGCUAGGGUGCGGAAGAGGGAAGCGGAAUUUCCGGUGUAGCGGUGAAAUGCGUAGAUAUCGGAAGGAACACCAGUGGCGAAGGGCGGGUCUCUGGGCCGAUACUGACGCUGAGGAGCGAAAGCGUGGGGAGCGAACAGG